rnacentral:rRNA from 1 species
GUGAGGAAUAUUGGUCAAUGGGCGAGAGCCUGAACCAGCCAAGUAGCGUGAGGGAUGACUGCCCUAUGGGUUGUAAACCUCUUUUGCAGGGGGGUAAAGUGGUCCACGUGUGGAUCAUUGCAAGUACCCUGCGAAUAAGGAUCGGCUAACUCCGUGCCAGCAGCCGCGGUAAUACGGAGGAUCCGAGCGUUAUCCGGAUUUAUUGGGUUUAAAGGGAGCGUAGGCGGGGGUUUAAGUCAGCUGUGAAAUGCCGUGGCUCAACCAUGGAACUGCAGUUGAAACUGGACCUCUUGAGAGUACAUAAGGAAGGCGGAAUUCGUGGUGUAGCGGUGAAAUGCAUAGAUAUCACGAAGAACUCCGAUUGCGAAGGCAGCUUUCCGGGGUACAUCUGACGCUGAAGCUCGAAAGUGCGGGAAUCAAACAGGAUUAGAAACCCUAGUAGUCC